rnacentral:sRNA from 1 species
UCCUAGCCCUGAUGGGAGGGAAAAUCCUUUUGUGCCGGGGUUCGGCACAAAAAAUUGGAAGGACAGCAGGAUUAGCU